AUUAACGCUAGCGGCAGGCAUAAUACAUGCAAGUUGAACGGCAGCACAGGUAGCAAUACUGGGUGGCGAGUGGCGCACGGGUGCGUAACACGUAUGCAACCUACCCUAUACAGGCGAAUAACCUUUAGAAAUGAGGGCUAAUACGCCGCAGUAUUACAGAUGGGCAUCUAUUUGUAAUUAAAGAUUUAUCGGUAUAGGAUGGGCAUGCGUCCCAUUAGUUAGUUGGUAAGGUAACGGCUUACCAAGACGAUGAUGGGUAGGGG
rnacentral:rRNA from 1 species